UAACGCGUGAGGAACCUGCCCUUCAGAGGGGGACAACAGUUGGAAACGACUGCUAAUACCGCAUGAUACAUUUGAAUCGCAUGGUUUGAAUGUCAAAGAUUUAUCGCUGAAGGAUGGCCUCGCGUCUGAUUAGCUAGUUGGUGGGGUAACGGCCCACCAAGGCGACGAUCAGUAGCCGGACUGAGAGGUUGGCCGGCCACAUUGGGACUGAGAUACGGCCCAGACUCCUACGGGAGGCAGCAG
rnacentral:rRNA from 1 species